GGCAAGAUGACCGAGUGGUUAAGGUGUAAGUACUUUGUCGUCACACAAACUCAAUUGGUCAACCAUUAACAGUAUCCUCAGGUAUGACUCAAGCUAUCGCUUGCCCUUGAAAAUAGGGUCGUCUUCAUAUGUCGCAAGACGCGUGGGUUCGAAUCCCACUCUUGUCA